AAAGACGUAGUUAGAACGUGAAAUAAAAAAUCAAGUUUGUCAAAAUACUGCUAAAAAAACACCCCGCAUUUUCGGCAAGCAACACAAAAUUCAACACAACUCAACACAAGCCACGAAAAUACUUCUAAAGCAAAUAAUUAUUUUUAUAAACCAUAAAAAACAUGCUAUACCAGCAGAAUAAAGAAGUUAAGAAAAAAAUAAAAAAAUAUUGGAACCCACAGGAUGAAGCAGGUUGGCAGAGGUAGCCAGGCAUCAUGGCGGCCCUUGUCAGUGGAGAGAACGGCCGCUAUUUUGCCUGUUAUUCUUCCAUCGUAACUAAAUGAGAUAGUAAUUGACGAACACAACACACCACGUGGAGAGAAGCAAGGUGUGGAGUACCCAAGCCUCUCACAGUCCAUGCUAGUAGACUCACCCUGCAUGUGGAGAUCUCCCAAAAUGCACGGAGGUUAUUCCAGAGCUGCAGAACAGAGUACUUGAAGCCAUUGGUGAACAGAAAGCUGAGGUUGAACAAAGCCAAGAAUUGAUAGCUGCCCAAGGUGUAAGCAAGAUUCACAAUGAUGAGGUCAUUGUGACGUGUGCAAUGUGUCCACUGGUCUUGGCCUUCCUGACCAAGGCAGCCACACAAAGGAAAUUCCACGUUAUUGUUGCCGAACGUGCCCCUAAAUAUGAUGUAAGGGUCACCCAGUGGCAAAAGCUUUAUGUACUGCUGGAAUUGAGACAACAUUAAUUCAAGACUCUGCAGUGUUCCCCAUCAUGUCACGUGUCAACAAGGUCAUCAAAGGUCAUCGUUGGCACCGAGACGGUGGUGACCAACGGAGGCAUUGAGACCUUUGUUGGUGCAGCCUCUCUUGCCUCACCACCAAAGUUUUAUUCUGUUCCACUGUAUGUGUGCACUCCCACAUACAAAUUUAGCUUGAUGGGCUGUGAAGAAAUAAGCCACCAAACCACCACUUCUAUUAUCCCAGAGGGAACAAAGUUUUGGCCGUCUGUAAAUACUGCGCUGACUCAGCUAGAUUACGUUCCUCCAGAAAAUGUCACCAGUUUGAUAACUAACAAGUGAGUUUGUGUUGUUCAUAUGACUGUGUGGUCCUUUCAAGGUGUGAUGUUGGGGGUUCAUUUAAUUUUUUCAUUUGCUUUCCUUGUUGGGCCUGGGUUGACCUCAGGAGACAUCAGUAUUUGUCAGCUUUAUGCACAAACUGUUAUUUAGCACUGUACUUCAUCUCCCAGUAAAACUUCUGAUCCUAAAUGCAUCAAAUGAAAGGCCUUUAUGUUUUACUUAUGAGUGAGAUAAACAACUUACUCAAUUUAUUAUACAGUAAAAUCCCUCUGUAUUAUGUGGACAUAUGAAAUUAUGUGGACAUAAUUUCACUUCUAUUCAAGUAUCCGGCACUUCGGCGGUCCCAUUGAUGCCGGAUAAGAGGGAUUUUACUGUACCCUGUUUAUCUUGCACAUCUACUCACUUAGCUUUAAAUAAUGGCUGCUGACCAUUUAAAUCUCUUUUAUUUCAGUCGAGGUACUGCACCAUCCUACGUGUACCGGCAGCUUAGCGAACUGUACCGUCCCACUUCUUGUGUAACAAGAAGGUAACAGCUUUAAUCCUUGCAAAUAAGGAAUAAGAGAAAAGAGACACACCUGCCAUUUGUACUGUUAUGCUGUAGUGUUCUGUCAUUUUUUUCCUCUUUUAUCCUAGAACCAUUUUUGGUCAUUCAUGUUUCUAAAAAUUAUUAUACAAAAAUGUUGAGCUUAAUAUGUUUGGUGUAGUUUUUUGUAACAUGUGUUAUUGUUAAUGUGUGUGGUUCCCCUCAGGAAGAAUGUUGCAGUAUUAGCAGUAAUGUUACAGCCAAUGGAAGUGUCUGUAUUGUGCUUUGGUGGGAGGUUAAUUUGAUGUAUUUUUAGAGUUGUGCAGGAUAUUAUAGCAAGCCCUCAAAAUAAAGAAAAUAACUAUAGAAAACA